rnacentral:rRNA from 1 species
ACGGAAGGCAGCAGUGAGGAAUAUUGGUCAAUGGGCGGAAGCCUGAACCAGCCAAGUCGCGUGAAGGAUGAAGGUAUUAUGUAUUGUAAACUUCUUUAGCUGUGGAGCAAUAAUCGCCAUGCGUGGCGAGAUGAGAGUACACAGAGAAUAAGGAUCGGCUAACUCCGUGCCAGCAGCCGCGGUAAUACGGAGGAUCCGAGCGUUAUCCGGAUUUAUUGGGUUUAAAGGGAGCGUAGGCGGGCCUUUAAGUCAGUGGUCAAAGCGUGUGGCUCAACCAUACCACGCCGUUGAUACUGGAGGCCUUGAGUGCACAUAAGGAUGGUGGAAUUCAUGGUGUAGCGGUGAAAUGCUUAGAUAUCAUGAAGAACUCCGAUUGCGAAGGCAGCUGUCCGGGGUGUAACUGACGCUAAUGCUCGAAAGUGCGGGUAUCAAACAGGAUUAGAUACCCUGGUA